CCUACGGGUGGCAGCAGUGAGGAAUAUUGGUCAAUGGACGGAAGCCUGAACCAGCCAUGCCGCGUGCAGGAAGACGGCUCUAUGAGUUGUAAACUGCUUUUGUACAAGGGUAAACCUGAAUACGUGUAUUCAGCUGAGAGUACUGUACGAAGAAGGAUCGGCUAACUCCGUGCCAGCAGCCGCGGUAAUACGGAUGAUCCAAGCGUUAUCCGGAUUUAUUGGGUUUAAAGGGUGGGUAGGCGGAUUUAUAAGUUAGAGGUGAAAUGUCCGAGCUUAACUCGGGAACUGCCUCUAAAACUGUUGAUCUAGAGAGUAGGUGAGGUAGGCGGAAUGUAUGGUGUAGCGGUGAAAUGCUUAGAGAUCAUACAGAACACCGAUUGCGAAGGCAGCUUACCAAUCUAUAUCUGACGUUGAGGCACGAAAGCGUGGGGAGCAAACAGGAUUAGAUACCCCAGUAGUC
rnacentral:rRNA from 1 species